GAGUGAAGAGGGAAGAGCUCAUCAUUGGAAUCUGGCAGUGUUGCACUGUCCGAGUUGUAGAUGAGGAGUGGUCCAUCUGGACUGCGUGGCGUCCAAGUACAAUAGGCCGUCAGUGGGACAUCAUAGAGGGUGACAAUCCCGUCCUUGAUGCCAAUGUGCAAGUCCGUUACGAUGGCUAUCUCAGAGAGUCGAGCAGUUUGGGAUUUGCUGCUUAAACAUGGGAGGUAGAUUCCUUCUAAAGCUAAAUACAGGCGAGAGACCGAUAGAGAACAAGUACCGCAAGGGAAAGAUGAAAUAGAACUCUGUGAAGGGAGUCAAAAGGCGUGAAAUUGUUGCGAGAGAAGCGAUUCAAGUCAGCGUAGCUAGGCCCAUCAAGCGUCUCGCUUUGGACUAGCUUUGCCAGCGGUCUUGUCCUCGGAGACUUGACAAUAUACGAUGUGUCCAGCCUGGUAUGCACAGGUAGCCCCCCUGGGGGCCAGCGGCACGGCUGGUGGAAUGGCUUGCAAUCGACCCGUCUUGAAACACGGACCAAGGAGUCUAACAUGUAUGCGAGUAUAAGGGUGGCAAACCCGUAUGCGCAAUGAAAGUGAUUUUCGGUGAUUGAGAAUGGCCUGAUGACCAGACAAGCAAUACAUGUCCCUCGGACGGCCAUUGCCCAAGUUCCGUGGUAGAUCCCACGAACAUGGAGUUGGAGCAUACAUGCUAGGACCCGAAAGAUGGUGAACUAUGCCUGGACAAAGCGAAGCCAAAGGAAACUCUGGUGGAGGCUUGUAGCGAUUCUGACGUGCAAAUCGAUCGUCUGAUCUGGGUAUAGGGGCGAAAGACUA
rnacentral:rRNA from 1 species